rnacentral:misc_RNA from 1 species
UAAGGAGAGACGGUCAUUCUUAUAUCGGGACAACGAGAUUAUAGAAGAAAAUGAAUCCCUCCACUCGUAAAGCAUUCUGCAUCCGAGAGCACAAGCGACUUCCCAUGUGCCAAAGUAGCCAAAAAAGCAUACCAGGUACACNAUAGCCGCUGUAUGGUUCAUCNAAUGCCACCUUUGAUGGGGAAAAGAUGAAUAGCAUUACGCAACAAAAUUGGAUUCCGCUAAGUGGGUAUGCAACACAGAAACC